rnacentral:rRNA from 1 species
GAUGAACGCUAGCGGGAGGCUUAACACAUGCAAGUCGAGGGGCAGCACGAUCCCGAGUAAUCGGGAUUGGUGGCGACCGGCGCACGGGUGAGUAACACGUAUGCAACCUACCCUGUACAGGGGGAUAACCCGGAGAAAUUCGGACUAAUAUCCCAUAAUGAUAUUUGAGGGCAUCCUUGUAUAUUUAAAGCUCAGGCGGUACGGGAUGGGCAUGCGGAACAUUAGCUAGUUGGGAGGGUAACGGCCUACCAAGGCAACGAUGUUUAGGGGACCUGAGAGGGUGAUCCCCCACACUGGUACUGAGACACGGACCAGACUCCUACGGGAGGCAGCAGUGAGGAAUAUUGCACAAUGGGAGAAAUUCUGAUGCAGCGACGCCGCGUGUGGGAAGAAGGAGCUUAGCUUCGUAAACCACUGUCGGAGGGACGAAUGGUAGUUAGACCUACUGAGACGGUACCCUCAAAGGAAGGAUCGGCUAACUACGUGCCAGCAGCCGCGGUAAA